UAGGGAAUCUUCGGCAAUGGGGGCAACCCUGACCGAGCAACGCCGCGUGAGUGAAGAAGGUUUUCGGAUCGUAAAGCUCUGUUGUAAGAGAAGAACGUGUGUGAGAGUGGAAAGUUCACACAGUGACGGUAACUUACCAGAAAGGGACGGCUAACUACUUGCCAGCAGCCGCGGUAAUACGUAGGUCCCGAGCGUUGUCCGGAUUUAUUGGGCGUAAAGCGAGCGCAGGCGGUUUAAUAAGUCUGAAGUUAAAGGCAGUGGCUUAACCAUUGUUCGCUUUGGAAACUGUUAAACUUGAGUGCAGAAGGGGAGAGUGGAAUUCCAUGUGUAGCGGUGAAAUGCGUAGAUAUAUGGAGGAACACCGGUGGCGAAAGCGGCUCUCUGGUCUGUAACUGACGCUGAGGCUCGAAAGCGUGGGGAGCAAACAGG
rnacentral:rRNA from 1 species